rnacentral:rRNA from 1 species
UACGUAGGAGGCGAGCGUUGUCCGGAUUUACUGGGUGUAAAGGGUCCGCAGGCGGGUUGAUAAGUCGGUGGUGAAAGGCUUCAGCUUAACUGAAGAACUGCCUCCGAUACUGUCUACCUUGAGUACAGAAGAGGGCGAUGGAAUUCCAGGUGUAGCGGUGAAAUGCGUAGAUAUCUGGAAGAACACCGGUCGCGAAGGCUGUCGCCUGGUCUGUUACUGACGCUCAGGGACGAAAGCGUGGGGAUCAAACAGG